CAAAGGAAGCGAUUCCGGCGGGGGAUGGGCAUGCGGCGCAUUAGCUAGUCGGCGGGGUAACGGCCCACCGAGGCGACGAUGCGUAGGGGUUCUGAGAGGAAGGUCCCCCACACUGGUACUGAGACACGGACCAGACUCCUACGGGAGGCAGCAGUGAGGAAUAUUGGUCAAUGGGCGGGAGCCUGAACCAGCCAAGUCGCGUGAGGGAAGACGGUCCUAUGGAUUGUAAACCUCUUUUGCCGGGGAGCAACGGGGUCCUUGCGAGGGCCCAAUGAGAGUACCCGGAGAAAAAGCAUCGGCUAACUCCGUGCCAGCAGCCGCGGUAAUACGGAGGAUGCGAGCGUUAUCCGGAUUUAUUGGGUUUAAAGGGUGCGUAGGCGGGCUGUUAAGUCAGCGGUCAAAUGUCGGGGCUCAACCCCGGCCUGCCGUUGAAACUGGCGGCCUCGAGUGGGCGAGAAGUAUGCGGAAUGCGUGGUGUAGCGGUGAAAUGCAUAGAUAUCACGCAGAACUCCGAUUGCGAAGGCAGCAUACCGGCGCCCGACUGACGCUGAGGCACGAAAGCGUGGGUAUCGAACAGGAUUAGAUACCCUGGUAGUCCACGCAGUAAACGAUGAAUGCUAGCUGUCCGG
rnacentral:rRNA from 1 species